AUUGAACGCUGGCGGCAUGCCUUACACAUGCAAGUCGAACGGCAGCACGGGAGCAAUCCUGGUGGCGAGUGGCGAACGGGUGAGUAAUAUAUCGGAACGUGCCCAGUCGUGGGGAUAACGUAGCGAAAGCUACGCUAAUACCGCAUACGAUCUAUGGAUGAAAGCGGGGGAUCGCAAGACCUCGCGCGAUUGGAGCGGCCGAUAUCAGAUUAGGUAGUUGGUGAGGUAAAGGCUCACCAAGCCGACGAUCUGUAGCUGGUCUGAGAGGACGACCAGCCACACUGGGACUGAGACACGGCCCAGACUCCUACGGGAGGCAGCAGUGGGGAAUUUUGGACAAUGGGCGCAAGCCUGAUCCAGCAAUGCCGCGUGCAGGAUGAAGGCCUUCGGUUGGUAACGUAGCUUUAUACUAGGAAGAAACGAACUACCGACGUGUC
rnacentral:rRNA from 1 species